CAAAGCACUUUGAAGAGAGAGUUAAAGAGGACGUGAAACCGAUGAGGUGGAAACGGACAGAGCUGGCGUAUCUGGUCUGCAUUCAGCCGUGCGUUUUCGGACGUGUGGGUUCCCGUCUCCAGACUGGGGCGGUGCCUGCACUGUUUGGAGGCCUGCGGUGCUUUUGCAGACGGAGUGCGCUGAGAUGCUCGGUGCAGCUGCAUGAGCUUGGCUUUGAGGCCAGCCCUUCGGGGUCUGGUACCCGGGCCAGGGGAGUGCUGUUUGUGUUGGGUGUACACUUGUGUGCAUUGGUUUCGGGCUCGUGUUGGACUGAGCUGGCGGUCGGUGGCGGUCGCUUGCGACACGUACCAGCAAUCAGUUCGGUCCAGCCUGGGCUCACAGUGCAUGUUCUCGGUGUAAAAGCCGGUCAUCUGUCCGACCCGUCUUGAAACACGGACCAAGGAGUUUAGCGUGUGCGCGAGUCAUUGGGAGUUGAAAACCCAAAGGCGUAAUGAAAGUGAAGGCCUCCUCACGGAGCUGAUGUGUGAUCCUGUGCACCUCGGUGUAUGGGCGCAACAUAGUCCCGUCCCGAUCGCAUGCGAUGGGGCGGAGACAGAGCGUACGCGCUGAGACCCGAAAGAUGGUGAACUAUUCCUGAGCAGGAUGAAGCCAGAGGAAACUCUGGUGGAAGUCCGAAGCGAUUCUGACGUGCAAAUCGAUCGUCUGACUUGGGUAUAGGGGCGAAAGACUAAUCGAACCAUC
rnacentral:rRNA from 1 species